CCCACCGCACUUGCCCGCCGGCUCCCGCCAGCACCGCUCCCGCAGCCAGCACCUUGCAGCGCGCUCCGGACCCUAGGCGGACCAAUCAGGGCAGAGAGCGCACGCGGCGGCCAAUCAGCGCGCAGGACGCUGCGGCUCCCUCCCUCGGAGCAGCCACCGCCUCCCGCCGCCUGCCCUGCGCCCCAGACCGGCUGCGCUGGGAGCCGCCGCCCGGCCCCGCCUUGUGCCGCGCCGCAAGCCCCGCUCACACCCGGCCGCCGCCGCCGCCGCCGCCGCCGUGAGGGAAGGACGCAUCUGCGUGCGGGGCCGGGGUUGCUGCUUCCCCGCGGAGCGUCCCCGCCGGCUCCGCACGCGCACGAAGCGGCUCCGGGCGCCGCCACUCUCCGCGCAGCGGCCCGGGCCGGGGCGGCGGGAGGCGGUGCCCGCAGGGACAGCUGUGUGGGCCCCGCGCACCGGCGCGUCUUCUCCGCGGAGGCCCGAGGCGGCCCCGCCCGCCCCGCGUUCCUGACCGCGCGCCCGAGCAAGAGCCGGGGCGCUCCGGCGCCCUGGUCCCGCCGCGAUGCUGCCUGGCGUUGUACAGAGACGUAUCCAGUACAGCUAUAAGGAGAAGCAGACAAGACGGCAGAUGGGCAGUCUUUAGCCACUAAGGAGGGAAGGAAACCCCCGCCUGCCCAGCAGGAGGGAAAGGUGCUUUGCUGCAUUGUGACCGUUGCAAGAAGAAGAAGGAUUGUGUGGAUCCCCAGUUGCCUCCAGGUUUUUGUAAGUCCCUUGAGUCCAGCUGUGGUCAUGCCCCUCUUGCCUGUUUAAUGUAAUGUCCACAGGCUUUCAGCCAGCUCUACCCCUGUAAUCCCUGAGGGGCUGCUGAGUUCAGGGGAGCCAAACCCAUUUGAUCAGUCCCAUUAUAUAAUUUUCAAAAAAAAUCAUUUUUAUUUCUUUUUCAUUUUUCAUUUAUUUCAUUUUCAUUCUCAUUCAUUUUUAUUUUCUUCAGGCUCUAGUCUUUUCCCUCUUUCUUAUUGCUCACCCCCACCAAGUUCAGAGGCCUCCAGCCACAAAGGAAUCCGGACCCCCAGCCUGCGCUUUGCAGCACCAUGCCCCAGUCCCCCAGCUCUUGGGGAGACCUGGGGCUGAGGGGCAGCAGUGGCCUUGGACAGUGGAGCUGGACAGCCAUGUCUUGCAGACCAUGAAUAUGCGGGAACCCAGGGAAGGCUGCCUGCCCAAAUACCUACCUUGGGGCCUGGCUCAGACCAAGGUUGAACUGUGGAGCUACCUUCGGGCCCCAAAAGGCAAAGGGCCAUGAGCUGGGCAGCCACCAGACAAAACCUGGAGCAGCACCCCAGGGCAGUUUGCCUGGUACAGUGGUCAGAGCACUGUGCCCAGGAGGCCACUCACCACCCCAACAAGCUUCUGCCGUGCGAAGGCGCACAGGAACUGCACAAGGGGUGGGCCAGCAGCCCCCGCUGUGGGAUGCCCUCCUCUGCCCUGUGUUGGGGGCAGAGCCUUGCUCUGGCUAUGGGGGCCACUGAGCACAAGGGUCCAGUGCUCCCCCCCAGGACUGCACACGAGCUCCUCUGCCCUCCUGGCAGGGCCCCUGGCGCAGGCUGGAGGCAGACCCACCUGCAGCACCCCCUCCUCCAGCCCCAUCUGAGGCAGGAGCCUGCUCUCCUGGGCAUGGUCCCUCCGCCCCUAAGAAGCCUUGCCCCUGCCUUCGGUCUAUCCCCGAGAGCCCAGGACUCCUGCAGGGAGCCAGGACCUCCCUCUCAGGGGUGGGGGGGGGAUCCCUGGGACCUGCUGCACUGCAGACCUGCCGGCUCCAGGGGUGCUUGCCCCAGGGAACAGGCAGGGCUCACUGGUGUCAGCUGGAGGAGCUCCCUGCCCGACAUGAGGUGCCCCUGCCCUGCUCUCCUGCCCGGGCACUGGCUGGACCCCGUGGUGGCAGGACCUCACAGGACCCCGUUUCCGGGCUCGAGCAUGGGUGGCUGGAACAAGUCCUCUCCCACAUGGCAAAUAUGAUGGCCCUUGGCCUGCAGCGGCUGGGCAAGCACUGCUGGGGAAAGCAAGAGUGAAAGCCGGGCCCAGAGG